rnacentral:rRNA from 1 species
UACGGAGGUGGCAAGCGUUGCUCGGAUUUACUGGGUGUAAAGGGCGUGUAGGCGGCUUCGUAAGCCCUGCUUAAAAGGCUCUGGCUCAACCAGAGUUUGUGGCAGGGUACUGCGAGGAUAGAGGGUGGAAGAGGUGAGCGGAACUCCCGGUGUAAGGGUGAAAUCUGUAGAUAUCGGGAAGAACACCAGUGGCGAAAGCGGCUCACCAGGCCACACCUGACGCUGAGAUGCGAAAGCUAGGGGAGCAAACAGG